rnacentral:rRNA from 1 species
GAUGAACGCUGGCGGCGUGCCUAAUACAUGCAAGUCGAGCGAACGGACGAGAAGCUUGCUUCUCUGAUGUUAGCGGCGGACGGGUGAGUAACACGUGGAUAACCUACCUAUAAGACUGGGAUAACUUCGGGAAACCGGAGCUAAUACCGGAUAAUAUUUUGAACCGCGUGGUUCAAAAGUGAAAGACGGUCUUGCUGUCACUUAUAGAUGGAUCCGCGCUGCAUUAGCUAGUUGGUAAGGUAACGGCUUACCAAGGCAACGAUGCAUAGCCGACCUGAGAGGGCGAUCGGCCACACUGGAACUGAGACACGGUCCAGACUCCUACGGGAGGCAGCAGUAGGGAAUCUUCCGCAAUGGGCGAAAGCCUGACGGAGCAACGCCGCGUGAGUGAUGAAGGUCUUCGGAUCGUAAAACUCUGUUAUUAGGGAAGAACAUAUGUGUAAGUAACUGUGCACAUCUUGACGGUACCUAAUCAGAAAGCCACGGCUAACUACGUGCCAGCAGCCGCGGUAAUACGUAGGUGGCAAGCGUUAUCCGGAAUUAUUGGGCGUAAAGCGCGCGUAGGCGGUUUUUUAAGUCUGAUGUGAAAGCCCACGGCUCAACCGUGGAGGGUCAUUGGAAACUGGAAAACUUGAGUGCAGAAGAGGAAAGUGGAAUUCCAUGUGUAGCGGUGAAAUGCGCAGAGAUAUGGAGGAACACCAGUGGCGAAGGCGACUUUCUGGUCUGUAACUGACGCUGAUGUGCGAAAGCGUGGGGAUCAAACAGGAUUAGAUACCCUGGUAGUCCACGCCGUAAACGAUGAGUGCUAAGUGUUAGGGGGUUUCCGCCCCUUAGUGCUGCAGCUAACGCAUUAAGCACUCCGCCUGGGGAGUACGACCGCAAGGUUGAAACUCAAAGGAAUUGACGGGGACCCGCACAAGCGGUGGAGCAUGUGGUUUAAUUCGAAGCAACGCGAAGAACCUUACCAAAUCUUGACAUCCUUUGACAACUCUAGAGAUAGAGCUUUCCCCUUCGGGGGACAAAGUGACAGGUGGUGCAUGGUUGUCGUCAGCUCGUGUCGUGAGAUGUUGGGUUAAGUCCCGCAACGAGCGCAACCCUUAAGCUUAGUUGCCAUCAUUAAGUUGGGCACUCUAAGUUGACUGCCGGUGACAAACCGGAGGAAGGUGGGGAUGACGUCAAAUCAUCAUGCCCCUUAUGAUUUGGGCUACACACGUGCUACAAUGGACAAUACAAAGGGCAGCGAAACCGCGAGGUCAAGCAAAUCCCAUAAAGUUGUUCUCAGUUCGGAUUGUAGUCUGCAACUCGACUACAUGAAGCUGGAAUCGCUAGUAAUCGUAGAUCAGCAUGCUACGGUGAAUACGUUCCCGGGUCU